rnacentral:piRNA from 1 species
UCCAGAGUGAAAUGUUUAGUGUGUCUUUUGU